GACACAGUCGCCGCGGUAAUACGUAGGGUGCGAGCGUUAAUCGGAAUUACUGGGCGUAAAGCGUGCGCAGGCGGUUCGUUAAGACAGAUGUGAAAUCCCCGGGCUUAACCUGGGAACUGCAUUUGUGACUGGCGAGCUAGAGUAUGGCAGAGGGGGGUAGAAUUCCACGUGUAGCAGUGAAAUGCGUAGAGAUGUGGAGGAAUACCAAUGGCGAAGGCAGCCCCCUGGGCCAAUACUGACGCUCAUGCACGAAAGCGUGGGGAGCAAACAGGAUUAGAUACCCCUGUAGUCCCUGUCUCUUAUACA
rnacentral:rRNA from 1 species